rnacentral:piRNA from 1 species
ACUUUGUCCUUGGAAUUGUGCUGC